CUUGAGCCAAAAUGAAACCAAUUAGAGGCUUAGUAAAUGGGUUCCAGCCACCCCAGGAAACUUAACCAUCCACGAGUCAGUUCAGCCGAGGUAGAACCUCAGUGCAGGAGUUUAGCAUGAUAUAGAUUGCUACUUUACAGAAUUUAUCCAGACCUGUCGCCAGGGUUGUGGUCUUGAGGAUGUGAAAUGUAUCCGCCCAACACAGCCACCCAGGUGCUGGGUUCAAAUCUCGAUAAACUACAUAGGGGUAUAUAGGUGGGGAACGUUAGCACCAUUGACUCUCAGGGGUCUCUUGCCACUGCCAUGGAGGUGGGGACAUAAGGAGAGGACUAGAAGCUGGGCCAGAGGGAACAGACAGAGAAAGAACAGAAAUCCUUUCAUUAGACCCUGUCUUCAAGAGCCUGGAUUGAAAUGUGGCCGUCUUGAGUAGGGGUGAGGAGGAAUCUACUUUUCAGCCUGGAGAAUAUAUGCUAUUUUGCUUUAGGCAGAAAGACUGGACAAAGACAUGAAGCCAUUUGUUCCGGUUCUUUGGUGGAGGGACAGAAGAAAGGGAAGUACUGGUUUCAAUUCCCCAGUGAAUCUGAUUGCUAAUUAACCAAAUUUAAUUAUCUAUCCCCUUUUAGGAGGGCGGGGGUUGGCUUAUACCACCAACAGGACAUUCUUCAGAAUGAAGUUUAAUUUUCCCAAGAAGGGAAGUGGCUGCAGUGUCAUACCUGUGUAGGAAAAAAUCCAUCCUGAUUGGCAGCUCUUUUCUCUCUGGAGCAGUCUCUCAGGGAGACCAUGCAGAGUUUUGAUCUAGAAAACAUAAACCUGGGUGCCUGAGCCAGGUAGAAAACCAAAGGCUCAAAAGGGCAGAGACAAACCCCUGUUAAACAGUUCCCCCUGGCUGAGGGGUGACCUUAGGGGUUCCCCUUUUCUCCAUCACUUUUUCCCAUCCUCAGGCCUCUGGGAGAAGAUGCUGUGUUAAAGGAUGAGGGCAGAAACCAGCCUGGCCUCUCUGGAACAGAGAAAGUUAGAGCUUUGAGCAUCAUGAACAACGGGAUAAAAAUAGCAGUGUUGCCAUGGCAACAGAGGCUGGGAGAGUCCUGAGGAUCUGUCUGGGUCCUGCCAUCUCCCCCUCCUGCCUUCCUCCCGCCCCUCAGAUGGAACACGGGAAUGAGCUGAAGGAGGAGAGACGGCUGCCCCAGAAGGGAAAGAGACAGACCAGCAGCCCACGAGGAAAACCCUUGAACUCCAGACUUGGGGGGUGGUUUCUGUCAGCUCCUGAGCUGCCCAGGUCUGGGAGCUCUUGGCUUUGGCAAUUUCUUCUUCAGUAUGACGACUUCCUCCAGGGAUGCCCUGGGCAGCUACCGCUCACCCUCCUGGUGGAUGGUUCUGACCUCCUGGGCUCCUCCGUGAAGAGUCAAGGUUCCUGUUUCUUCUUCAUGAUCUAUAGUUCCUACGCCAUGGAAAUUUAGAGAAGCGAACCCAGGCGGACUGGCCACAAUAACCCCGGCACAGUGGGCACUGACCACUCCAGGGAUGGCCUGGGGGUCCAGAGGAUUCACCCUGACAAGGCAGACACCCUUGUCAGCAAUAUGGACUUGGGGGGCUGUGUUUGUGUUGGGAGCAGGGUGAUGAUGGUGACAGCUCUCUCUUGCUCUUGCUUUUGGGUCAGAGAGAUAGAAUGUUCAUUCCUUGGGAACAGAUUCUGUUUCUUGGUUCUUGUGGUACUGUCAGCUUGAUCACCUGCUGGACAUAGCAGCCACCUUCAGGAGGAACACCAGACUUCCUGGACCAGCCUGCAAGGAGCCCACUGAACUCAGCAGCCCAGAGAUUUUCUUCUCUGGUGAAAGCCCACCUUUGCAGUUGUGAACCAAGUAUCUGUCUCCAAAAGUUCCAGCCACAUCUGGGCACAUCUGAUAAGUGUGCCCUUUAUAAUGCGUGCCUUCCUGUGAGGUAGGGAGGAAAUGGGACUCAUCGCCACCUGUUAUGGAGGAGGCUGGGAGAGAGGAGGCAAUUUGCCAAGGUCAGGAGUCAGUCAUGGCAGAACACUGGGGGGCUGUGGCUCUCCAUCCAGAAACAAUCACCAGCACAUUCCACCACCAGCAACUCUCCAGCCACUGGGCAAAAUGCAUAUUCAGUCUGUAGAUAGGACAAACUCCAGCCUGAGGCACUUCCCCUUGCAGAAGGCAAGGAAUGAGGUGGGGUGGUUUGAUCAGCAUGGAGAUGGGCACAUGAGGAGCUGUGCAAAGGGAAGCCCAUGGGUUACAUAACUGGAGCAGAGCGCCAGUCCUUGAGAUCUCUUCUAGAAUCACUUGAGCAUCUAUCUGCAGGUGGUUGUGGUGGUGGUGGUGGUGAUGCUGUGUGUAUGUGACAGAGAGAAAGUGAGAACGUACAUGAGAGUGGCGCCUGUGAUGGCCUAGACAGGACCUGAAGUCAGAGUCUAGGCCAACUGACUUACUCCCCUUGGGCCUGGCUGUAGGAGGGAAGAGAGGCAGAACUGCAAGGAGUCCUGGGCCCUGGCUAGGGGAAGAUUCUAGCAGAAGCUCUGGGUGACUUGCCUUUCCCUCUCACUCCCCCUCUCACUUCUCAGAGCCACCAUACCACUUCCAUCCACCCUCCAGAUAUGUCUGUUGUCUGCACGGAGUGCAUCUGUGAGGGCAGAGGAAACCUGCGACCCUCUGGUUCCACAACCCUAUGCCCCACUGAGGCUCAACUUCCCAGACUCACAGAGCCCUGGACUCCAAAGGAGACUUAAGAGGAAAUUCAUGUAAUCCCCUAUUUAUAGUUGAGGAACCUGAGUCUCAGAAAUAAGACAUGACUAGUCUAAGGUCACAUAGGUCAUUAGUUUCCAAGCAGGGCUAGAAGCCAGGAGACCUGGCUCCCAGCUCAGUGCUCCUUGCAUCCCACUCUAACACUUCAUGUGUAUUUCAGUUAGUUAAUUAUUGCUUUUUUUUUUCUAAAAAUAACAAUCUCCCUAUAUAUUUCUAUGAACCCAUAUGCUACAUGCAAAAAGCCCUUCCCUGGGAGCAGAGAAGGAAAUGACAUUCUGAUAAAAAGGUUUCAACCUGAGACAAGAAGCCCCUUGGGUCCUGUGGGCCAGGGUCCUAGGCAACACUCAAGUCACAAGGACCCCAAGCACCCUUCACACUUCUUGAUCUUCCAUUCAGCAGCCUGAAGCCCAAGAGGGAAAAUGGCCAUGGGAAGUCCUCGCUUUACAGAUGGGGAAAACUGGCCCCCUCACCCAUCUGCAAGGAGGAAUCAGUGCCACGCAGCAAGAACAAGAGGCCUGAUCUCCUCCACAGAAUCAUCUACCCAUGUGCCCCUCCCUCACCCCAAGAGCUCAGGGCCCCCACCUCAAGGUGGAGUCUCUGGGAGAGAACCAUGGAGAGAGGAUGGGAAGGCAGGGCAGCCUGGCCCACCCUAGAAGGAGCAGAAGCCUGGCCCGAAGUCAGAGGCCCAGGGCGCAGGGUCUGCGAAUGCUGGGGCUGCUUUGGCCUUUCCCUAUUCCCUGGGCUCAUCCAAGGGCCUAGAGGAGGGCACAGGUGUCCAGACUGCUUCCUGAGAUGCUAAAAGGAGCAAAGUCCCCAUUUUCCUGAGAAGGAAACUGAGGGACAAUAGAAUGUGGGGUUGGGGUGUGCCUGGCUAGAAGCUGCUACCUCCUGCUCAGACAAUUCCAGCUGCAGUGCUGGCCCCAACCUCAGCCCUGGGUGAAGAAGGGGCUGCCGGCUUGGAGGCAGAGGACAACUGGACCUCCACUCAGAACACUUUGACCUUGGGACCCCACCCAUGUUCCCAAAGCCAGGGCUCAAGAUAUCUAGUAUCCCUCUGGAACCAAGGGAGUUCUCCCGGGGGAGGAAGCUCUCUGGAUGGGCUCACUGCCAAACCCCUGCAGCUGCAAUCCCUGCCAAGGUCUGAGAGGCGCACAAGGGGAAAGCUCUCCUCGGCCACCCGCUCCCCAGGACGUACUUUCUCCACUUUCCUAACCUUUCCUCCUGGUGAGCCUGUGUGGUCAGGACAUAACACCCAAUAUCUCUGAGUCUCCGGGGAUACAAUUUCAUCCUCUGCCACAGAAGUGACUUUUCUAGGAUUGCAGCCUCGCAGGUGACCGCUAGGGAAACACAUGCCCUCCAGGAGGCUCUCUGGCCUCUGUAUCAAGAAGCCGUGGAGACCACAGAAGCAGGCGAAAGUGAACUGGGGCAUGCCCUACGCCAGGCUGGGGGAACACUCACCAGAGAUCUGCAGGGAAAGGCAGGGGAGGGAGAGGGGGCA
rnacentral:lncRNA from 1 species